rnacentral:rRNA from 1 species
GAUGAACGCUAGCGAUAGGCCUAACACAUGCAAGUCGAGGGGCAUCACAUGAAGUAGCAAUACGGAUGGUGGCGACCGGCGCACGGGUGAGUAACACGUAUGCAACCUGCCUUCAACAAGGGGAUAACCCGUUGAAAGACGGACUAAUACCCUAUAACACAGGGGUCCCGCAUGGGAAUAUUUGUUAAAGGACAACCGGUUGAAGAUGGGCAUGCGUUCCAUUAGCUAGUUGGCGGGGUAACGGCCCACCAAGGCAACGAUGGAUAGGGGAACUGAGAGGUUUAUCCCCCACACUGGUACUGAGACACGGACCAGACUCCUACGGGAGGCAGCAGUGAGGAAUAUUGGUCAAUGGACGCAAGUCUGAACCAGCCACGUCGCGUGAAGGAAGACGGCCCUACGGGUUGUAAACUUCUUUUGCAGGGGAAUAAAGUGAGCCACGUGUGGUUUUUUGUAUGUACUCUGCGAAUAAGGAUCGGCUAACUCCGUGCCAGCAGCCGCGGUAAUUACUGACU